UCCGAAUAGGCUGAAUGUAUGCCCAGCAACACUCUAGAACCCAUGUGGAUAUAGUUACUAUAUAAUUCAUCCCUUUAACACUUGAUGCUCAAGGAUGACUAAGGGUUAAACUAUCAACCCAGGAAGAGUGAUUUAUAUUAUGUCUCAAUCUUAAAAAUUUUGUGACUCUUCACUAAGAUUAUUUUGGCCAAAGUUUUGCUAAAUUGAAAUACAGUGAUGCAUCAUCUUCAAUUUUACUUGGAGCGAUCAAUUCCAUCUUGACUCGCACUCAGACUUUAUAAGUACUUGAUUGUACUUAAAAAUC
rnacentral:lncRNA from 1 species